UAGGGAAUCUUCGGCAAUGGGGGCAACCCUGACCGAGCAACGCCGCGUGAGUGAAGAAGGUUUUCGGAUCGUAAAGCUCUGUUGUAAGUCAAGAACGGGUGUGAGAGUGGAAAGUUCACACUGUGACGGUAGCUUACCAGAAAGGGACGGCUAACUACGUGCCAGCAGCCGCGGUAAUACGUAGGUCCCGAGCGUUGUCCGGAUUUAUUGGGCGUAAAGCGAGCGCAGGCGGUUUGAUAAGUCUGAAGUUAAAGGCUGUGGCUCAACCAUAGUUCGCUUUGGAAACUGUCAAACUUGAGUGCAGAAGGGGAGAGUGGAAUUCCAUGUGUAGCGGUGAAAUGCGUAGAUAUAUGGAGGAACACCGGUGGCGAAAGCGGCUCUCUGGUCUGUAACUGACGCUGAGGCUCGAAAGCGUGGGGAGCGAACAGGAUUAGAUACCCUGGUAGUCCACGCCGUAAACGAUGAGUGCUAGGUGUUGGAUCCUUUCCGGGAUUCAGUGCCGCAGCUAACGCACUAAGCACUCCGCCUGGGGGAGUACGACCGCAAGGUUGAAAC
rnacentral:rRNA from 1 species